GAGUUGCAGAGAUUCCUUCACAGAUUAUUGAUAAAAUGGACCAGAUCUAACUUCACCCAAAAGAUACCUUGGGAAAGGAAGAUUGCUAAGUCAUAUAUAUGAAGCAUUUUUCCUCUAUACCCAGCUGAUGUGGGAUUUAACUCGGCUUUGUGGAGCUUAACAUAACCUCAACAUUUGGACCUCCUCACGCCCAGCCUCUGGAGAGUGAUGUUUGUAGGAUUGGAAUUUUGUUGGUGGCCUAACAUCAAGAUUAGAGUUGGCUCUAAUACCAUAUUGAUAAAAUAAAUUGGGCCUAACUCCAACGGAGUUAAGGCACGUUGUGGGAGUAGAAUUGUCCGGCCAUAUAUGAAGCAUUUUUCCUCAAUACCCAGCACUAGAAUGAGAUAUUUGCAAUC
rnacentral:misc_RNA from 1 species